rnacentral:rRNA from 1 species
UGCAAGUCGAACGGUAAGGCUACUUCGGUAGUACACGAGUGGCGCACGGGUGCGUAACGCGUAUGCAACCUACCUUCAGCUGGGGAAUAGCCCGGAGAAAUCCGGAUUAAUACCCCAUAACACAGGGAACCCGCAUGGGUAUAUUGUUAAAGACUUCGGUCGGUAGAAGAUGGGCAUGCGUCUGAUUAGCUUGUUGGUGAGGUAAUGGCUCACCAAGGCAACGAUCAGUAGCUGGUCUGAGAGGAUGAUCAGCCACACGGGCACUGAGACACGGGCCCGACUCCUACGGGAGGCAGCAGUAGGGAAUAUUGGACAAUGGGCGAAAGCCUGAUCCAGCCAUGCCGCGUGAAGGAUGAAUGCCCUCUGGGUUGUAAGCUUCUUUUAUCAGAGAAGAAAAAGUUCCAUUUAUGGAGCCUUGACGGUACCUGAUGAAUAAGCACCGGCUAACUCCGUGCCAGCAGCCGCGGUAAUACGGAGGGUGCAAGCGUUAUCCGGAUUUACUGGGUUUAAAGGGUGGGUAGGCGGAUCAAUAAGUCAGUGGUGAAAUCCUGCGGCUCAACCGUAGCACUGCCAUUGAUACUGUUGGUCUUGAAUAUAGACGAGGUGGGCAGAAUGUAGCGUGUAGCGGUGAAAUGCUUAGAUACGCUACAGAACACCGAUUGCGAAGGCAGCCCGCCAGACUAUUAUUGACGCUGAGGCACGAAAGCGUGGGUAGCGAACAGGAUUAGAUACCCUGGUAGUCCACGCCCUAAACUAUGAUAACUCGAUAUUGGCGAUAUACUGUCAGUGCCCAAGCGAAAGCGUUAAGUUAUCCACCUGGGGGAGUACGUUCGCAAGAAUGAAACUCAAAGGAAUUGAC